UUGAUCUCACAUUGACAAUUAUUCAACAGAAAAGAUGGCGACUACUUCACCUAAAAUAGUUCUCCUUGCUCUCAUUUUGAUCACCUUAUCAGUUAUACCUUGUUCCUCAAAAAUGUUUGGAGCGGAAGACAUGGAAUUGCAACCAACAGGAACUACUAGAGCUGUCCUUGCCAUGUGUCAUUCGUCUUGUAAGACGGAUCAAGACUGCGUUGAUGCUAAUUGUGGUAGCAAAUGUUUCACCUUGAAGCGCCCUCUUAAAAUGAGUAGUUGUCUUAGUUUUUAAUGCCAUAUUUCUUCAAAUUAUAUUCAAUAAAAAUGAAAUGUGGAGUGUUCACAAUAAUAAUAUAUAGCCAAUAAUAAUAACUUAAUGUUAUGGUUGUAUAAUCAUUGCAAGAUAAAAUCAAAUAAAUUCACCUUUAUUUU